rnacentral:lncRNA from 1 species
AGUAGAGCCUCUCCCAUAAAAGGCACAUCGGAACCCACUUCGGACAAUGCUGCUGUGGGUUAUGGGUCAGAACUUUAAACAAGAGGGGCUGGAUGGCAGAGGUGAUAAAGCUGGGAAGAGAGGCAUCCUGGAAGGGCCCGUGUUAUGAAAACCCAGAGUUUCACUCAGAUCGACAGCUGCGUGGGGGCCGGCGCUCCCGGCAGUGAUUGAGUUACCCUCAGCAGCGGGGUCCCGAGGUCGCAAUCCCUGCUGGGGGAGUGAUUGAUGCCGGACUCCAGGGCCCACCUUGGGUGACCCUGGGAUGUCAAUGAGUGACCGCUGAUUCU